UAGGAACAUUCAGAAUGAGAUUUUGGACUUCCAGAACACCCUCCGAAAGCAGGUGGAAGACAUCAUUGAUGCGAAUUCCAGGCUGGAAGAAACCAGAAAGCCACCUGCAAGUGGCAAACAUCUGCAGGAGCAUGAAGUGGGCCAAAUGCCAGCCACUGAGGAGCUUCCACAGGAAGCACAGGAGUCCCCCAGCCUCGCAUGUGAAGACCAGCAGGGGAGAGGGGACCCCCUGGGUGCCUGUGUAUGCCUUGAGCCAGGUCAGAUCUUCCUUCCUGAAACAAGCUCAUGACACUGAAAACCAAUCCCAUGGGAGGGAGGGCAGGAUUGGCAGGGACCUAGAAGCCCCCAGAAACCAUGUGUGUCUCCACUGACUCUGGUAGAGGUAGAGCUGCAGUGCAGCUCAGAGUUGCAGGGAUGGACUGGACUCUAUUCUGAGCUUGUAUUGGAGAAGCCUUGGGGUUCCUGUUACAGUGAAACUCUCAAUUCCACCCCCAGAGCAGACUCAUUUCCCAAGUCGUCUUCAGGCCCAGAUGAGCAAGAAACUAGACUGAAAGUCUGUG